AGACACAGAGUCUUGCUCUAUCCCCCAGGUUGGAAUGCAGUGGCACAAUCUCGACUUGCUGCAACCUUUACCUCUGGGGUUCAAGUGAUUCUCGUGCCUCAGCCUCCCAAGUAGCUGGGAUUACAGGCAUGCACCAUCACACCUGGCUAAUUUUUGGUUUUUUUUUAGUAGAGAUGGAGUUCCGCCAUGUUGGCCAGGCUGGUCUCAAACUCCUGACCUCAGGUGAUCUGCCCGCCUCAGCCUCCCAAAGUGCUGGGAUUACAGGCAUGAGCCACCACACCCAGCCCCACAUAACUUUUAUUACAGUAUAUUAUUAUAACUGUUCAAUUUUAUUGUUGUUGUUAAUCUCUUACUGUGCUACAUUUAUAAACCUUAUCAUAGGUAUGUAUACAUUAUAGGAAAAAAAAUUAUGUAUAGGAUUUGGUACUACCUGAGGUUUCAGGCAUCCACUGGGGGUCUUGGAAUGUAUCCCCUAUGGUUAAGGGAGAAUGACUACAAACCAACGAACUGCUACUUAGCAAGAGGAAGGCAUCAGGGCAGUAGCUCCUCUGGGAAUAGUAAAGCACUUCUUUCUCCUGCUGCCCUGUGAAGAAGGACGUGUUUGCAUCCCCUUCCACCAUGAUUGUGAGUUUCCUGAGGCCUUCCCAGCCAUGUGGAACUGUGAGUCAAUUAAACCACUUUCCUUUAUUAAUUACCCAGUCCCAGUUAUUUCUUCACAGCAGUGUGAGAACGGACUAGCACAGUUUCCUUCCCUGGUUUGCAAAGUCUCGGUCUCCUCCAUGGUCAAGUAUCUGGUAACUCACCA
rnacentral:lncRNA from 1 species